AAGACAUACAUAUUUCAAAAUUAGCUGUGAACGCCUCCUCAUGCACUAGGUACAACUAAUAUUUUACAUAUGCAUGGCAUAUUUUACAGCAAAAAACUCAGAGGAUUUUAUGUGAAUCUCUCUCAGCAUUCUUCCCAAAUAACUGGGGAUAUAUUACCUGUACCUUUUAUAGAUGGGGAAAACGUGCGUAACCCUUAAAGCUCCUCCAUGGAGUUGAAUCCACUGUUUAAAUCCUCUUUCCCACUGUUGUUUAAUAACCUUCAUAUUCAGUAAUCACAACAGCUUCUAUAAUGUUCACAGCUGCACAGUGUUGUACUUCUUCCGCUUGUUACAGAAGAGCUAUAAUUGGAGUAUUUCUGAUUCCUCCUUUUCCAAUUUCUGAAGGAACUAAUCAUUUUUUAAGUCUCCAUAAGCACAAGUGUGAAUAGCUUUUCAACCUUGGGGUCAGGACAUUUUGCACAGGGAGGAGAAUUAUAUCCUGGUCUAAUCCUUUCACACCAUUUCCAAGUCAGUGCCAUAACCAUGGCAGUGCUCUCAUGCCUCCACUGUGGUUCAGCAGUCAGAGCUGCUCAUUAACGCCUGCAUCUCUUUUACAUGACAGCGAGUUAGCGCACUGAACUUUUUCUAGCUUGUCAGGUCAUGCUUAAAAGUUACACAAUAAAACGAAAUAGGCGGUGCCUGGUCAGUCAGUGUCUGACCAAACAGAGCUGGGAGAGUAAAACAAGCUUUCACGAAAAUGAAAAUGCUUUGUAACUCAUACUUCUGAAAUCUGUCACCAAUACAUAUAUGAACAAGAGGGGUAUGUAUGUUCAUCUGCUGCUCAGUGUGAGAACUGAAAAGAGGCCAAGGGUUAAGAGCAUCCCCCAAGUGCCGAUUCCCAACAACAAUACAGCGAACUGGGAGGUAAAGCCAGCUUUAGAGUGCACCCCUCUAUAUGCUGCAGCAUCUAAGACCAGCAAAACUAGUCCACAGACCAUAGAUCUGCACCUGGUGUAUCCUACAUGGGGAGGAGGCGGCAAUUGGAGCUGCUGUCCUGACCUGGCAUGCUGGCCUUCCUCUCCAGGAGAGACCAAAAAACACCCCCAAAAUAAAACCCAACAAACUGAACUGUGGUUGCUCCCCAGUCUGAGAUUUUGGUUCAUGGUCACUUUCACCUACUGACCUUCUCUGAAGCUGUCUAUCACCCCUUUAUUUUCAUCAUUAACCACAAAGACUGGAGUUCUCAUAUUUUCAUGGUGAGUAACAGGCCUGUUUCAUGCCAGAGGCUCCCAGUCAGACACAACAUACCAGGAGCAGUCAUCUCCUGCAUGAGGGCCCAGGCCUGGUCCAGCUGUGUGCCAGGCAGCAGACAGCAUUCGUUUCUGCGGUUCCAUUUCUGUCUUAGGUUUGAGGUGCUGCAAGUACUAAGUGGUUGCUGUCUGAAUUUCUUUUCUGCGAGAAUGGCUAACGAAUAACUGCUUUUUUAAUUCAAAACCAAAACCAACUGAAUUAUACAAUUUGUGUAAUGAUAUAAGCAGCAAGCUUUGUGUCUCCAUUUUCCCCAAACAACAAAGUCCUUUUUCUCUCACAUAUGUGGACUGUAAUUCAGAGCUAAUUAUAUGAGUAGCAAUGUUCAUGCUUUUGUACUCAAGGUUCCUAAUGCAGUAUUUACAUGUAUUUUCCUUUCAGCUUUCUUCUGGCACUUUGAUAAAUUACCUAGCAAAAGGCUUUCAGGUGAACUAGCUUCUCCACGAUCAUGCUUGGGAAAGCAAGAUGAAGUGCUAAUGAGGUUAAAGGAAAUGUAGUCAGCACCAGUGUUAACUCACAAGGGUUUGAAUAUCCACUCUGCAAGACAUUUUCACCUACAACAAUCUCUGCUGGUUUCUGGCCUACUGAGCUACAAGCUACUUAUUUCUUUUAAAUGUCUGCCAGAGAAUCCAUCACCUGUGAGGAAACAAGGGCAACCAUCAGUGGGGCAGGGAGGGAAAUGUCAUCAUCUGCUAGGUGAUACACAUUAAUACUCCCACAACAUCUGUCCUGUAGCUUGCUUGAAAAUGGUUCCCUUUGGAAAAAAAGUCUUCUGACUGAGACGUGCAGGUAUUACCCAGCUAAUUCUUCAGUGAUGCGUGGGGGCCGAGCACCUGUACCCGCUCCGGGCCAGUCACCGACGCUCACCUCUGAGUCUUUCUGCACAGAUCUACAAAUCUCGCACCUAAAACCGUCAGAGGAAUUCACAGCCAACAGCCACAGCAUUCUCAUACCAGCUGUUUCUAAUGCCUUGACAAUAUUGAAAGCAAGGGGAAAAAACCUAAUGCUGUAAUAUUAGCUCGUCAGGAGGCAGCGGCUGCACCAGAAAUGUCAUCUACUUAAGCAAUAAUAAUGGAGGCACAAGGCAUUUCUUUGGGAUUGAUAACCAGCUAGGAAAAGUUGAUGGCCUGAGAAUAACCAGGGGCCAUUAAGCCAGAAGAACAUUAAGUUCACAGAAAGCUCUCUGCUAAUGUAAUUAUUACAGUGAUAUGUGCGGAAAAAAAAAGCAAACCAAAAAAAGCAAACCCGUGACAUACGAGUUAUAUUUCAGGUAGGCAAUGCAACCCGUACUCCAUUCGUCUUGCUUCAAAAUGUCCAAAAAAGGCACAGGGUGAGAGGUAGGUGACUUUUAUGGCACCUGUGCUAGCUACCUUGAAACACAGAGCACCUACAUCGGCUGAAGUUCAAUGGCACCCACUGGUACCCACUGUGUUCAUCCAGCGAAGCUGGCAGAACAAGCCAGUGCACUUCCGUGCUAGAAGGGCUGUCCCAGAGAAGGGAAGGGAGCAGGGGAACUUGCCUGGUGCUGGGACACUCCACAGCAGUGCUGUGGUGGCCAUAACAAAUGCACACAACCUGGUUUGGUGUAAGUACCACGUGCCGAAAUGCCGCCAGCAGCUGUCACUGCCAUGCGUUACAGCCCAGUAACUACUGCUGCCGUAUCACAUUCUUCUGGUUUGUUUAAAACCAACCAACAAGCAAAUGGGAAUGAAAAAAGCAUUGCCACGGUUGUUCCUGUAUUUUCCUAUUUAAGGCAAUCUCUGCUCUGUUAUUGACUUCAAAAUCUAUGGCGGCCAAUGAUAGAAAGAUGUUAUUUUCAGACACUUUAUUGCUCAAAAAAAAAUCAAUAGAAUGUUAUUACUGAUUCAAACUAUGUAAUCUUAGAUAAAAUUAUCUUCUUUGUGAUGAAAUCAAAUGCCUUCUUUAUUAUUAUUUUUUUUUAUUUCUGCUCGUCAUAGUCCUUUGAUUUUAAAGCCAAGACUUAAGAAAACAAGACAGUUUCCCCCAGUAACACCAGCUGCAUUGGGAAGCACGCUUCUUCCUACUGAGCACUUAAUGACCUACUUUUGAGACCCCUGGGUUCAGAUCAUUCCAUUAUCAGUAGUAUAAAAGUUUCCUUUCUAUACAUAAAAAAUGCAUAUUUUAUCUUAGCAAUGAUGACAUGGCAAAACAAACAAACAAACAAACAAAAAACCCAAACAGUGAAGAACACCUCAUUACUGAGCUUGGCAGAAGAAGACUACCUGUUAGCUCGUUAACACCAAUACUACUAAUACAUAUUGCUGGAAAUACUGCAGAUGAUUUCCAAAUGUACUGGGAGAAGGCAAGAAGCAAAGCAGAUGAAAAGAUGCUACAGAAUAUCCAAAUUCCUUUUGGAUAAAUGAUCUUUAACCAAACAUUUGAGACCGAAAGUGCAAAAUGCCAAUGAUCCUGUGAAACUAAUGCCAGUUCCCUGAUAUUUUUUGCUUUGUAAUAUAUCGAUGUUGGAACAGGGCAUGUGAAAAGAACUAAAAAUGAAAAAAAUGUACAAGCACAAAGAGUUUGCCUUAGUAUUUUCAAGUCCCGUGCACACAACACACUGCAACAAUGCCCUCAAACCAGUUUCUCUGAACAGUGAAAAUGAGCCCAGUGCAUACUGGGACAUUUUGAGUAAUACUUCAGUGUACAAAAAGCUGGAAGGAAAAGUAGAGUGAAAUAAAGCAUGUAGAGAGUUUUUAACCUCAACCAUCCUCAACUUUGAGGUUUUCAGGUCUCUGUGAGCUUCAGUUUUGUGGUGCUGAGUUCUGAUCUAAGACAUGAACUCGCUCUGACCACAGACUUCUCUCACGUUCACUUGGGGAGUGUAGCUUACUUUCCACACUACGCAUGCCAGCUCUGAUUUUCCACUGAAGUUUCCUAACUUUUCAUUCUUUAACCCAUAUGUCAGCAAGUACAGAGAGGUCUUAAAGAGGAAGAAAAAUCCCCUGAGGAAAUGCAUUUGCAAUUUUUGUUGAACUAGACUUUCAGAGCAUGAGACGCUCUGCCGUGAAAACGAGCUGCAUUAUCCACUGAAAUAAAAAUCAACCAAUGCUUUGAAAACUGUACCCCAGUGACCGACAGCGCACAAGUAAAUAGAAAGGGUUGGGAGAUACCUCUUCCCCAACACUGUUAAUCCUUAUGCAAAUCCACAUAACAAGCAUUCGCAGCAAAACUUUGCAAUUCAGAAAAGGUCUGGCAAAUCUGUUUAGGAAGAUAAAUGCGUGUCUGUUUAAAAAGAUAAAAGAUAAAUGAAUUUCUUAUUACUUCUCUUUGUUUCUCGGGCUGUAGAGCUUGAAUAUGCAGACGUUGUGGAAACAUUAGCAUCCUCAUUUCCCAUUGAUUCUUCAGAGUUAAUUAUAUAACUGGACUCUGCCUUCAGAUAUUUGUUGGAACAGAAACAGCGCAAGAGCUGAACUUCAGCGCGUGCAUUCAUCACGCCGGUAAUCACAGUGCCCUGGGUUUUAUUUCUCCAAGGAGCAGAAUAUUUUUGUCCGCCAUGAUAUUAUGCUGAUGGGCAUCUGCAAAACUUGUAGUAAAAAUAUAAUAUAAUUCUAUUUUCAAAUGGUCCUUAGGCGAAUCUAAUUCAAUUUCUAAACAUGAGGCUGGAUUACGAAAGGAAAAAUAAAAAAAACAAAUGCACUCCAUAAAGCUUUCACUGGGAUAAUUUUCUUAGAAAAAGUACCGUUCAGCACAUUAGUCACCAAAGAGUCUUGUGCUCGUGUGAAGUGUUUUCCGGCACAUUAACUCUUUUUCAGAGACCUGCCUGCUAGUCAAAGCUUCCAUUAGAUUAAUUAAAAUAUGGCUCCUCUCACUGGAAAGAAAAGGCAUGAGUUUGGUUACAAGACAUUGACCACGUCCGGAAAGCAAGCCCUUCCCUGUCACAUGAAGAACGAGUAGAAGCGGCGCAGGAGACGGAACAACGAGGGAGUAUAUCUCACUGGAUUGGCCUUCGGAUCCAUUUCACCAUGGGAACAGCAGGCCAAGAGAAGUAAAAACAACUCCGAAAUAAACAACAACAAAGAAAAAGAAGAGAGGUGGAUGGAAUAUCUUUCUAUAGUGACACUGAUUGUACAUAAAAUUCAGCCCAAAAUGCUCCAAGAAGGGUAAUGGUGGUGGGGAAAGAAUGAAAAGGAAUAACAACAGCAUGACCAAGUACUGCCAGACUGCAGAGGACUUUCAAAAUCUCUCUCAAUCUUACAUUGAUUCAAACCCUCAUUACCAAACACUCUGAGAUCUGAUACGUGUCAGCAGGAAAUCUGAAGUUGUAUGAUGGGCACUUGCUUUGCAGGUCGCUGUGCCAUGCCCGGCUGCAGCUGAGAUUCCUGGCUCAUGGCAAUGAAUCUCUGCUAAACAGUUUCUUUCAGAGCAAUAUUCGCGUUCUAAGUUUUCCAGCACUGGACACGUAGGUCACCUUUCCCUCCUUACAGCCCUAAAUAGCGCCUAGCAACUAACCAGCACUUCUGAGAAAUCCAGACCACUCCAGAGCCACUAUUUCAAAUCUCAGGAGACAGAAGGGCCUUUUCUUCUCCUGGAGCAGACGCACUGACGUACCAACAGCUUUUGGUAUGGAAAUCUUUCAGCAAUGAGUCAAAAAGAGAAGAGCUUCCCCUGAGGUAUAAGCACUGCACUGCACUGAGCAGAGAUGCAUGCAGGUGCUUCCUCCUGUCUGUACGGCACAGCCCUUGGCUGCAUGCUGUCCUGCCAAUUCCCACUGCGCCCCUGACGUGGUGAGCCCAGCUGAAGGCACCCCGAGAUGUGUGCCCAACAUGCUCAUGACGGAUGUCUCUUGAGGACACCCAGCACUCCAACACCCUAAAAAACACUGAAUUUCACCUUGAGCAUGGCACUGCCUAUGUGUUGCAGCUGUGCCUAUUUGCGUGUCCAAGGGAAUACUGCCCCGUCCUGCCAGGACUGCUGCCUCUGUAGCGCACAUGGCCGGGGAGCCUCUGUGCUGGGAACCCACCCUGGAGGUGGAGUGCGGCUGAGCUCAGACACAUCCCCAUUUAGGUACAGCUGCAGUGUGGGUAAAGCCUUUCUGCCAUGUGUUCUGCUUCCCAAAACACCGAAAAUUGCAACCGUGCAGAAUUUCUACCCUCCAAAAAAUAAUAAUCACACCACAGCCCUACUCUAAUUAAACAGAAAUUAAUUACAUCCUAUACAACAGGACAGGUUCUGAAGGCUUAACUGGCUUCCUUUUUAAUUAUUGUAUAACUUUGUGAACACAGCACAAAUCUUCUUUUUAACAUUCUAAACACGUUGGAGGGUCUUGCUUGCUUUAAAAGACUGCAAUGGAUGCCACGUUUGCAUUUAAUUAAAAAAUAAGUUACUAAACUA